rnacentral:rRNA from 1 species
CGCCAGACUCCUACGGGAGGCAGCAGUGGGGAAUAUUGCACAAUGGGGGAAACCCUGAUGCAGCGACACCGCGUGAGCGAUGAAGUAUUUCGGUAUGUAAAGCUCUAUCAGCAGGGAAGAAAAUGACGGUACCUGACUAAGAAGCCCCGGCUAACUACGUGCCAGCAGCCGCGGUAAUACGUAGGGGGCAAGCGUUAUCCGGAUUUACUGGGUGUAAAGGGAGCGUAGACGGCUGUGCAAGCCAGAUGUGAAAGCCCGGGGCUCAACCCCGGGACUGCAUUUGGAACUGCGUGGCUUGAGUGUCGGAGAGGCAGGCGGAAUUCCUAGUGUAGCGGUGAAAUGCGUAGAUAUUAGGAGGAACACCAGUGGCGAAGGCGGCCUGCUAGACGAUGACUGACGUUGAGGCUCGAAAGCGUGGGGAGCAAACAGGAUUAGAUACCCGCGUAAGC